rnacentral:tRNA from 1 species
GGUGAGGUGUCCGAGUGGCUGAAGGAGCACGCCUGGAAAGUGUGUAACGGCUAAUCCCCGUUCGAGGGUUCGAAUCCCUCCCUCACCGCCA